rfam:Microbacterium sp. AR7-10 contig_20, whole genome shotgun sequence.
UGGGUCGGCCGGACGGCCGCGUGGCGCGUGAGCGCACCGAGGAACGUCCGGGCUCCACAGGGCAGGGCGGUGGGUAACACCCACCCGGAGUGAUCCGCGAGACAGUGCCACAGAGAGAAGACCGCCCCCUCGGGGGUAAGGGUGAAAGGGUGGUGUAAGAGACCACCGGGGAGCGCGGUGACGCGCUCCGCCAGGUAAACCUCGCCCGGAGCAAGACCAGACAGAGGACGUUGACGCGGCUCGCCGAGUCCUCGGGUAGGUCGCUGGAACGACACGGCAACGUGUCGUCGAGAGAGAUGGCCGUCAAGGGAGCGAAGAACUCCUGAACAGAACCCGGCGUACAGGCCGGCCCACUCG